rnacentral:rRNA from 1 species
CUACGGGAGGCUGCAGUAGGGAAUUUUCGGCAAUGGAGGAAACUCUGACCGAGCAACGCCGCGUGAAUGAAGACAUAUUUCGGUAUGUAAAGUUCUUUUAUUAGGGAAGAAUAGCCCAUGGAAAAAUGGGUGUGACGGUACCUAAUGAAUAAGCCCCGGCUAACUAGGUGCCAGCAGCCGCGGUAAUACAUAGGGGGCAAGCGUUAUCCGGAAUUAUUGGGCGUAAAGGGUGCGUAGGCGGCCAUUUAAGUCUUUGGUAUAAGUGCAGUGCUUAACGCUGUGAUGCUAAGGAAACUGAAUGGCUUGAGUGAGAUAGAGGCAAGUGGAAUUCCAUGUGUAGCGGUAAAAUGCGUAAAUAUAUGGAGGAACACCAGUGGCGAAGGCGGCUUGCUGGGUCUACACUGACGCUGAGGCACGAAAGCGUGGGGAGCAAACAGGAUUAGAUACCCUAGUAGUC